rnacentral:tRNA from 1 species
GCUUUCGUGGUGUAGUGGUCAGCACGCUUGACGCGUAUUCGAGAGGUCCGUGGUUCGAGUCCCGGCGAGGCCA